rnacentral:rRNA from 1 species
UUGACUGAGCGGCGGACGGGUGAGUAACGCGUGGGUAACCUGCCUCAUACAGGGGGGUAACAGUUGGAAACGGCUGCUAAUACCGCAUAAGCGCACAGUACCGCAUGGUACCGUGUGAAAAACUCCGGUGGUAUGAGAUGGACCCGCGUCUGAUUAGGUAGUUGGUGGGGUAACGGCCUACCAAGCCGACGAUCAGUAGCCGACCUGAGAGGGUGACCGGCCACAUUGGGACCGAGACACGGCCCAAACUCCUACGGGAGGCAGCAUG